rnacentral:rRNA from 1 species
GGGUGGACGGCCACACUGGAACUGAGACACGGUCCAGACUCCUACGGGAGGCAGCAGCUAAGAAUCUUCCGCAAUGGGGGAAACCCUGACGGAGCGACGCCGCGUGGAUGAUGAAGGCCGUAAGGUUGUAAAAUCCUUUUGUCGGUGAAGAAUAAGGAAGGGAGUGGAAAGCCCUUCUGAUGACGUUAGCCGGCGAAUAAGCCCCGGCUAAUUACGUGCCAGCAGCCGCGGUAAUACGUAUGGGGCAAGCGUUGUUCGGAUUUAUUGGGCGUAAAGGGCGUGUAGGCGGCUCAUCAAGUCUGGUGUGAAAUCGCAGGGCUUAACCCUGCAUAUGCGCUGGAAACUGGUGGGCUUGAGUUCUUGAGGGGAAGCUGGAAUUCCAGGUGUAGGGGUGAAAUCUGUAGAUAUCUGGAAGAACACCGGUGGCGAAGGCGAGCUUCUAUCAGAGGACUGACGCUGAGGCGCGAAAGCGUGGGGAGCAAACAGGAUUAGAUACCCUGGUAGUCCACGCUGUAAACGAUGUGCACUAGGCGUGGGGCCCGUACGGGUUCUGUGCCGUAGUUAACGUGUUAAGUGCACCGCCUGGGGAGUAUGCUCGCAAGGGUGAAACUCAAAGGAAUUGACGGGGGCCCGCACAAGCGGUGGAGCAUGUGGUUUAAUUCGAUGGUACACGAGGAACCUUACCAGGGCUUGACAUGUGCGUGAAUGUUCACGAGAGUGGGCAGUCCCGCAAGGGGCGCGCACACAGGUGCUGCAUGGCUGUCGUCAGCUCGUGUCGUGAGAUGUUGGGUUAAGUCCCGCAACGAGCGCAACCCUUACUGUCUGUUGCCAACGGGUGAUGCCGGGCACUCGGACGGAACUGCCGGUGACAAACCGGAGGAAGGUGGGGAUGACGUCAAGUCAUCAUGGCCCUUAUGUCCUGGGCUACACACGUGCUACAAUGGCAAGUACAAAGCGAAGCAAAACGGCGACGUCAAGCAAAUCGCAGAAAGCUUGUCUCAGUGCGGAUUGGAGUCUGAAACCCGACUCCAUGAAGUUGGAAUCGCUAGUAAUCGCGCAUCAGCAUGGCGCGGUGAAUACGUUCCCGGGCCUUGUACACACCGCCCGUCACACCACCCGAGUUGGGGGUACCCGAAGUCAGUUGCCUAACCGCAAGGGGGGCGCUGCCGAAGGUAUGCCUGGUGAGGGGGGUGAAGUCGAACAAGGUA